ACCCAGAUGACGAGUCCCAAAUAGGACGAAAUGAGAAUCUUGGAU
rfam:Trichobilharzia regenti genome assembly, scaffold: TRE_scaffold0073768